AUUCCUUUGUGUUACAAGUGUGCCAUCAGCCAUCGUGAACGGCAGGGAUACCUUUCAAACGCAUUCCUAAAAUGCUGAAAGGAAGAUAUUCCAUUUUUUUAUCGUGUCCUUUAUUACAAUUUCUAAAGAAGGGUGCGGGUAAAUAUUUGAGUUAUUAAAUCUACAUGCGCCGCCGGUGCAAAGUGAAUUAUGAGUACAUAUGUCCAACCCUUCAUACAGUGCUUGGGCUCAGCCGGCUGUGAAUUCCCUCCUGUGGGGCCCUCUGGCUGGUAAGCGCUGCCUCUGUUGCGCCCCAUGGUGACUCUUGUACAUUUAUUGGAGCCUCGAGCAUUGACUUAUUAACACUUCUGACCCAGCCAGAAACAAGACACUGAGAGUUAAAAUCCUCCAAUAGAUCAGACAAAUUGCCUGACAUCGUAUGGAAUAAACUGGGAUUUGCCUAAACGAAUGUUGACAAAAGUUGUCUCCAUUUGGCAAAGGAAACAAAACGCAUUUAUGAAAGGGCGCAGGGGAUUUUGGAGAAUAUACAAUUACAGAAGGAAGAAGAUUAUUCCCCCAUACAACUACAGAUCUGUUGCUGAUAUUCCUGAAUCUCCCAUGUCCCUCAAAUAUCGCUAUUUAUACGGGUUUUUAUCCGGGUUUUGUCAGACAAAAUAAAACUGAAAUACCAAGAUUAGAAUGGAAUUUGUGUAUCAGACUUUAUUAUUUGUGUGCGCGUGCCCUGCACUUAUAUACACAUAUAACCCUGUUAAAUAAAUUAAUUGCACAGCU